rnacentral:rRNA from 1 species
CGGAGGGUGCGAGCGUUAUCCGGAUUUACUGGGUUUAAAGGGUGUGUAGGCGGACUGUUAAGUCAGUGGUGAAAUCCCGGGGCUCAACCCCGGAACUGCCAUUGAUACUAUCAGUCUUGAAUACUGUGGAGGUGAGCGGAAUGUGUCAUGUAGCGGUGAAAUGCUUAGAGAUGACACAGAACACCGAUUGCGAAGGCAGCUCACUACGCAGUGAUUGACGCUGAGGCACGAAAGCGUGGGAUCAAACAGGAUU